rnacentral:rRNA from 1 species
GGCUCAGGAUGAACGCUAGCGACAGGCCUAACACAUGCAAGUCAGGGGCAGCACAAGGAGCAAUCUGAGGUGGCGACCGGCGCACGGGUGAGUAACACGUAUGCAACCUGCCUGUAAGCGGGGAAUAACCCGUUGAAAGACGGACUAAUACCGCAUAAUACUAAAUUACUGCAUGGUAAUUUAUUUAAACAUUUAUGGCUUACAGAUGGGCAUGCGCAUGAUUAGCUAGUUGGAGAGGUAACGGCUCCCCAAGGCAACGAUCAUUAGGGGUUCUGAGAGGAAGGUCCCCCCACACUGGUACUGAGACACGGACCAGACUCCUACGGGAGGCAGCAGUGAGGAAUAUUGGUCAAUGGACGAGAGUCUGAACCAGCCAAGUCGCGUGCAGGAAGAAUGUCCUAUGGAUUGUAAACUGCUUUUGCAGGGGAAUAAAGUGCAUCACGUGUGAUGUUUUGUAUGUACUCUGCGAAUAAGGAUCGGCUAACUCCGUGCCAGCCGCCGC